UGUAAAGUGACCUAAGGCUCUCUCUAUAGGAGAGAGCCCAUGAAGGAUUCUGGGAACUGCAGUCAUCUCUUUUAUUAAAUGUUUAUAGUUGCAUUAGUCUCAGGCUUUAGUGCUCACAUAGUUAGAAAGCUCUGUUGUUUUCCAGACUUUGGCUCAGUACUGUGUCCUGGAUGCCUGUGUCACUCUUUCUCAGCCCCUCUCUGUAGUCUGAGAGGAUAAUUUUAGUCCUGACUCUGGCUUGUUAAAAUGAGUCCUCUGCUGGAGGGGUGGCGAUAUUAGUGAGAAGAGGACUGAGAACAUACAAACUUAUAUAUAAAAAGCAGACACUUCUCAAGUGCAAGGAAGGAUGACAAACUUGUUUCAACUAAACUACAAGAACAAGAAAGGACAUGUUGGCACUCACAUGACUUUCCCACAGGUUGAAGCUCUCCUCCCACAUGUCGGCAUCCUGACUGGGUUGUUGGUUGGACUUUUGACGUCAUCUCCAGCUGCUACUCUAUCCAAAGGUCCUGGUCUGGCAGCACUUAUGUUAAAUACCCCGUGACACCUACUUGGAGAAGGGGACAAAGUUCUUGAUAGUUGCUGCUCUGGAAUCUUUGGCCUCCAGGAUAAAUAAAAAGAAAUGAGCCCCAACUAUUUGUAUUUGGCAUAUGCAUUUGUACUGGAUAAACUCUUGAGGAAAAGAUAUGGUAAGACAAGAAACCAUGGUCUUAAAACAGGAUAAAGAAUGUAGGGUGUUCUAGCAACAUCCAUGCAGAACUCUGGAUUUGUAAGCCAACCUGAUCUGUUGAGCUAUUUAUUCUUUAUUACUUUGAAUUUUGUUAAAAUGUAUUCUUAGUUUACUUUAUAUAUUUUGGAUUAUUUAGUUUAUUUUUACAUUGCUUUUUUUGUUUCUUGUUUUUUUGUUAUUUACUUUUUAAGUUAGUCAGGAAGAACUGUGGGUCCAUUUCUAGAAGCAUAUGUACUGGUAUAGAACCAGCAUGCACUGGGUUGGGGCCUAUUGUGUUUUACUAGAGCAGAAGAGGCAGCAGGAAACAAUGAAAAGUUUGGUCUUUAUUAUUUGCUUGCCAAAUGGA